AUGUCAGAGGACAGGGGCACGCAGAGGGAGAAGGGUAAGGAGUCGGCUGAGGAUCUACUAGCCCGCCUUACCCUGCAGGAGGAGGAAGAGGAUGAUUUUGUGUGGGAGGAGGAGCUACCAGAUCUACUGGAGCCGGCGAAGUGGCUGGCGAUUGCGAGGGUGCAUACCCAAAAAACUUUUAGCCCUAACGCAUUGUAUGGCGACAUGAGGGCGGCCUGGAACCCGGCUAAGCCGGUAGCAUGGAGGAAGAUUAAGGGGAACUUGUUUUCGGCGCAGUUUGGAUGCCUCGCAGAUUGGAAGAAAGCUAUGCACGAAGGACCAUGGUUGUUCAGGGACCAGGCCGUGAUCUUAGAGGAAUAUGAUGGAUUCAAAAACCCUAAUUCGUUCAAGAUGGAUAGAAUUGAGGUAUAG
rnacentral:rRNA from 1 species